GACCUAGUGGUGUAGUGGUAAUACAUCUGUGUUGAUUGCUGUCUUCAUAUCAGACUUCGACAGAGGACCUUUGUUUAACUCAGGGCUGGGUCA